CGAAGGGAGAAAUUCAAUCGCGUUUCGAAGUCGACGAUUCGUCGAACGGAUCGAGUUGGGAACGUGUGCGUUUCGCACGUGCGCGUUUCGGGCCUUUCGUUCUUCGUUAUCGAUUCGACGGCGAACGCGUGCACUUUUCUCCUUGUAGGACGUCGCGAUCCGUUGAGUGUCGGUCUACGAUUAGCGGUGGAGACCGUACGUCGCGUUCGCGCGCGUACGUGCGGACCCGUUUUUUCCGGCCGACGGACUCGACGGUAUGCAAAAGGUCGAGGGCCGCUCUUAGAAGCGUUCGACUCGUGGCAAGCGCGCUUGGUAACGUGCCGUCGUCGUCCUCGUUGACGUGCGAGCCGGUACUCGCAUCGGUGAUCGGACCUAGUGCCGAUUCCGAUCCCYGGCGACUGUUGGCCGCGAAGUUCUCGGACAGACCCUUUCCCCGAAAUCUUGCGUCGUUACGAUUUGGUGCGKCGAUACGCGUCUCGUGCGUUCGGAGUCGGUUCGUUAAUCGCGGAUCGAUUUCGUGUCGUACGGUCGUCGUGUCUUCGUACGAGGUCGUUACGCGCGUAUAGACGACCGAUCUGCGGCGCUAUAGCUUUGGGUAAUUUCAGGACCCGUCUUGAAACACGGACCAAGGAGUCUAGCAUGUACGCGAGUCACUGGGAUUAAUAUAACGAAACCCAAAGGCGUAAUGAAAGUAAAGAUUUUCCUUUUAUGCGAAGAUCUAGGGAAGACGAACGAUUGAUAUAAGCUUUUUCUGGCGGUUUACCGUUCAAAAAAGAGAGAGAGCGGUCGUUCUGCAUUCCCGGGGCGUCUCGUUCUCAUCGCGAGUUGAGGCGCACCAAGAGCGUACACGCUGGGACCCGAAAGAUGGUGAACUAUGCCUGGUCAGGAUGAAGUCAGGGGAAACCCUGAUGGAGGUCCGUAGCGAUUCUGACGUGCAAAUCGAUCGUCGGA
rnacentral:rRNA from 1 species